UCCCCCUCAAACCUAUCACUCAUUCCUUGUUGGCCUGCAUCUUCACUACCAUUAGAAGUUGUCAAAUCUUGAUCCCUUUGGCAGCUUGAAGCAUCAGAUCUUGGUGAAUUAGUUACAUUUAUUUUUCGCGCACCUAGAUUUAUAACCAACUUCUUUGCCUUCACAGCUUUCAUCUUGUUAGCCUGCUCUUCAGUAUCAUCCCCACUAUUCAUAUCACGAGACUUGUUGCUCUUAAUCUUGACAAUUCUAGAUGUCUUCUCUCCAUCACUUAUCAUCACUUCAUCUACAAACUUGUGUUUCAAAACAACUGUCUGAUUAACGGAACAAAUUCCUUCAGCAUGGUUCACAAUUCCUGCCACAGGGGAAGAAUAUACAUCUCCCUUUUUAUGAGAAUCACUGUCAUCAUUAUUG
rnacentral:misc_RNA from 1 species